GACGAACGCUGGCGGCGUGCUUAACACAUGCAAGUCGAACGGAAAGGCCCUGCUUUUGUGGGGUGCUCGAGUGGCGAACGGGUGAGUAACACGUGAGUAACCUGCCCUUGACUUUGGGAUAACUUCAGGAAACUGGGGCUAAUACCGGAUAGGAGCUCCUGCUGCAUGGUGGGGGUUGGAAAGUUUCGGCGGUUGGGGAUGGACUCGCGGCUUAUCAGCUUGUUGGUGGGGUAGUGGCUUACCAAGGCUUUGACGGGUAGCCGGCCUGAGAGGGUGACCGGCCAAAUUGGGACUGAGAUACGGCCCAGCCUCCUACGGGAGGCAGCAGUGGGGAAUAUUGCACAAUGGGCGGAAGCCUGAUGCAGCAACGCCGCGUGCGGGAUGACGGCCUUCGGGUUGUAAACCGCUUUCGCCUGUGACGAAGCGUGAGUGACGGUAAUGGGUAAAGAAGCACCGGCUAACUACGUG
rnacentral:rRNA from 1 species